rnacentral:rRNA from 1 species
GACGAACCGUGCGAACGUUGUUCGGAAUCACUGGGCUUAGAGGGCGCGUAGGCGGGCUGCCGCGUCCGGGGUGAAAUCCUCCCGCUCAACGGGAGAACGGCCUCGGAUACGGGCGGCCUCGAGGGGGGUAGGGGCAUGCGGAACUGUGGGUGGAGCGGUGAAAUGCGUUGAUAUCCACAGGAACUCCGGUGGCGAAGGCGGCGUGCUGGACCCCAUCUGACGCUGAGGCGCGAAAGCCAGGGGAGCGAACGGG